rnacentral:rRNA from 1 species
UGGGGAAUUUUGGACAAUGGGCGAAAGCCUGAUCCAGCCAUGCCGCGUGCGGGAAGAAGGCCUUCGGGUUGUAAACCGCUUUUGUCAGGGAAGAAAAGCGCCAGGCUAAUACCUUGGCGUCAUGACGGUACCUGAAGAAUAAGCACCGGCUAACUACGUGCCAGCAGCCGCGGUAAUACGUAGGGUGCAAGCGUUAAUCGGAAUUACUGGGCGUAAAGCGUGCGCAGGCGGUCGUGCAAGACAGAUGUGAAAUCCCCGGGCUCAACCUGGGAACUGCAUUUGUGACUGCACGGCUUGAGUGCGGCAGAGGGGAAUGGAAUUCCGCAUGUAGCAGUGAAAUGCGUAGAUAUGCGAGGAACACCGAUGGCGAAGGCAAUUCCCGUGGCCUGCACUGACGCUCAU